rnacentral:hammerhead_ribozyme from 1 species
AGCCGAAACACCCCCCAGUGACAGUGGGGGGUUUAUACCAGGACUGGUCCCCUGGUACUGAUGAGGCAGACCCUC